rnacentral:rRNA from 1 species
UAAUACGGAGGGUGCGAGCGUUGUCCGGAAUCACUGGGCGUAAAGGGCGCGUAGGUGGCCCCUUAAGUGUGUGGUGAAAGCCCGGGGCUCAACCCCGGGUCGGCCAUGCAAACUGGGGGGCUUGAGCAUUGUAGAGGCAGGCGGAAUUCCGGGUGUAGCGGUGGAAUGCGUAGAGAUCCGGAAGAACACCGGUGGCGAAGGCGGCCUGCUGGGCAAUAGCUGACACUGAGGCGCGACAGCGUGGGGAGCAAACAGGAUUAGAUACCCUGGUAGUCCACGCCGUAAACGAUGGGCACUAGGUGCCUGGGGGAGCGACCCCCUGGGCGCCGUCGCUAACGCAUUAAGUGCCCCGCCUGGGGAGUACGACCGCAAGGUUG